AUUGAACGCUGGCGGAAUGCUUUACGCAUGCAAGUCGAACGGCAGCACGGGUGCUUGCACCUGGUGGCGAGUGGCGAACGGGUGAGUAAUACAUCGGAACGUGCCCAGUAAUGGGGGAUAACACAGCGAAAGCUGUGCUAAUACCGCAUACGCCCUGAGGGGGAAAGCGGGGGAUCGAAAGACCUCGCGUUAUUGGAGCGGCCGAUGCCUGAUUAGCUAGUUGGUAGGGUAAAGGCCUACCAAGGCGACGAUCAGUAGCUGGUCUGAGAGGAUGAUCAGCCACACUGGAACUGAGACACGGUCCAGACUCCUACGGGAGGCAGCAGUGGGGAAUUUUGGACAAUGGGGGAAACCCUGAUCCAGCCAUUCCGCGUGAGUGAAGAAGGCCUUCGGGUUGUGAAGCUCUUUCGGCAGGGAAGAAACGCUCUGGGUUAAUAACCUGGGGUAAUGACGGUACCUGAAGAAGAAGCACCGGCUAACUACGUGCCAGCCGCCGCCGUAA
rnacentral:rRNA from 1 species